rnacentral:rRNA from 1 species
AACGAACGCUGGCGGCAGGCCUAACACAUGCAAGUCGAACGCACCGCAAGGUGAGUGGCGCACGGGUGAGUAACACGUGGGAAUGUAUCCUUUGGUUCGGAAUAACGUCUGGAAACGGACGCUAAUACCGGAUGAGCCCUUAGGGGGAAAGAUUUAUCGCCGAAGGAGCAGCCCGCGUCUGAUUAGGUAGUUGGUGGGGUAAAGGCCUACCAAGCCGACGAUCAGUAGCUGGUCUGAGAGGAUGAUCAGCCACACUGGGACUGAGACACGGCCCAGACUCCUACGGGAGGCAGCAGUGGGGAAUAUUGGACAAUGGGCGCAAGCCUGAUCCAGCCAUGCCGCGUGAGUGAUGAAGGCCUUCGGGUUGUAAAGCUCUUUCGCACACGACGAUGAUGACGGUAGUGUGAGAAGAAGCCCCGGCUAACUUCGUGCCAGCCGCCGCGGUAAGAC